CCUUGUGCAACAAAGUCAUAAUAAAAUGAGGUGUAAGGUGAAUAAAAAAAUAAUUGUAUAACUUACGACUGGUAUAUAAAUGCACUGUAGAUGUCGAUGCAUAGUUCAGGCUGUACUUUGUUUUGAGGGCUUGUAGAUGAUUCAACACUUGAAUCAGUAAAUGAAUAAUAGUGAAUUACGCGUGAAGCGGCGGAGCGCCAUCUUGUGCUGAGACGCGGGAUUUAUUCUUGUAAGUGGACGUAGACAUGAUCGAGUUCGUACUACAAUCAUUCCAGAGAGGGGCAGUAAAGCUCCUGAAGACGGUUUACUGGUCCUCAUUAAACAGCAGAAGAAGAAGAAGAGGACAUCGCGUGCGUGAGCAGACACGUGUGAUUCACUUCAUCGUUCAGUGUUGUAGAGGCUCGACUUGAAUUUCAUUCAUCUCCACAGUGAAGGGCGGUGGAGUGCAGAUGGAGAGAGUGUUAAAUGGUUUGAUGUAAAUGUUGACCUGAAAACAACUGGACGCACGUUCUCACUUCACUGAAACUACAGCAAAUCGAUGAGAUAAAUUACAGAGAAGAAAACCCAAUUAUUUCUAACCAUUUGUUUACUAUGUUUAUAAGUUGUUUGAUAAAAUAAAGUUUUCCUCCAA